ACGCGAGUCGAUACUAGUGCUAAACUGUGUAACUCUAAUCAGAGCAGGAGUAGGAGUACCUACCUACAUCCCUCCGCAACGGGGACGGGAGACACAUAGUUUUUUCUUUUCAAUUCGCCAGGUGUAUUUACCUAAACCUGAAAAAAAACGACCCUAUACGCUCAAUGUCUUACUCAUAUGGAUAGUAAAUCAACACGAACCAAGCUCCUCAUCAAACCGGUUGUAUUGGAAUGUCAAGUCUAGAAGCCACCAACUAUAGCUUGAAUUUAUUCACCAAAGAGUGCCGCUACUGCCGUAAUGUUAGACGAUGUAAUCAGUGCUUUGACCGUAGUGUACGUAUAUCUAGAAUUUUGGUGUAAUUAGUGCGGUUAUCAUGAUGUCAGUUCUACUAGUAGUAUAUUAUGUAAUCAUUGCAUUCUUAGCCAGUAAGAAUGCCAUUGCUGGUUUCGCGAAUAUCUCCAUGGAAAAUGAAAGUUCUCCGAUAAUCGUUUUUAAUGCAAUCAGUCAAGACCUUGAGUGUUUCAUUUCCUAUGCCAUCAGUUUUGGGGAUGAUCAGUGGUGUACAUCGUCACUCUUGCAUCAUUCAGAAAAAAGUUAUUCACCUUUUCCUUUUUUUACAAACAAUAGCAAGAUUCGACUCUUGAAACACAUCGAUGUACGGGAUCCUGGAACCGUCAUGAUUACGAAAAAGCUGCUUCGAGAUGAGAAUAACUGUUUCGUCGUGAGUGGAAAUUGUUCGACUCCAAAAAUAUCAAAUUGUUUAAAUGCGUCCAGUGUACCCGCAGUCAACGGAACUGAUCGAAAUCUCGUCAUUGAAAACAAUAGUAGAAAUGAGAUGUAUAUUGUCGAAAUGCAAUUUCGAUAUGGCGCAGAUGUUAUAUCCACGCAAUUAAUAUUUCCUUUAGAUACAAAAACGCAGAACUUUUUUGACAAAUCGGUGGCAGCAAACAUGAAUAUCAGCGGUCCCCCCAUCGUCUCGUUAUUCAAAAAACUAGAAAAGGAUUCCAAAUCAUUUCCCAUCGAAGAAGAUAUCCAGCUGGGUAGUCUGGAUACCUGUAUACAUAUGAGCGGAAGUUUUGAAGAUCCCAAACUCGUCUACUUACCCUGCGAAACACCACGUGGACGCAGACCGUCUACUACGACUGCGACUACGACUACAACCACGAAUACUACCACGGAAGGCCCAAGGCCAGUAUACAUACGAAAUGCCAUGCCAGAUGCCAGAAAGUGAUGGGUAAUUUGAACAUUUAAGAUUUUCGGAUGAGGAAUGCAGGAAUUGUAUGUAUUUAACCGCAAUGACUUAGGUAUAUGUAUGCAAGGGAUUUGAUUAAUGAUUUUCAGCAUAAGGUAAACUGCCAAAUUAAUUAUGAUAUACUUUUUUUCACCGCCUCCAGCUCCCCCCUAAAACAAUAUUGAACAGUGAAACCACCGUUAAUACCUACAUAUGUAUCAUGUUCAGAGCUUCAACUUUCAAGUACCAUUUGUGUACUUUGUCCUGAAUCAGUAUCUGUUCAACCCCACGCUUUUCAAAAGUGGUCCAAAAAAGCUGUCUUUUUUUACUGGUCACAAGUUGACCCCCCCCCCUUCCCCUUACUUUCAAUUCCACCUAUGUUACACUCACGCCGACCUAUAAAAUAUAAGCACUGUGCAAUUUUGAACGAAAAAUGUUCAUAAGCUUUGUUUUUACAGACGCUUUUAAAAAGGAUGCCAUUUAUCGACACGUCGGAUUAAAUGAUUUGAACGACAAAAAAAAAGUAUUUUGCACGAAAGAGGCUAACGUCUCAAAACCACUUUUUUAACGACGAAAACAGUUUUGAACCAUUGCACGACAACAAAAAUUCAAGUGCACGCCAAAAAAAUCAAGUGAACACCACAAAAUUGAAUGAAAUGCAUCGACGACUUUAGGAAAUGAACGACGACAUAAUAAUAAAAGCGACGAAUUUAUUCACAAAAUUAAAAUUUCCAAAAAUGAUUGGUGUUGGUUUUGAACCGAUCUGAAGCCUCCAGUGUAUUUACCAAUAAAAACUUCCUAAAGCUGAAAAAAAGGUGAAAAUGAAAUUCAGCACUUACAAAGGCAUCAUUAGGUACAUAUCUUUGAAUUCUUUUUGAGCCGGUUCAAAUCCAAAAUUUUCUCGAACGAUCAUUUUUUUUUUAAAUUGGAAAAUUACUUGAAAAACAAGACGAGAGGCACUAGGAGUCCUCAAAGUAGGUUUUAUUCACACUUGAGAAUUUUUUAUAAUUUUUGUUGGCUUCCACCCCCCCCCCCCUCCACCCUAAUAGUUGUUAGGUAAGUACUGUUAUUUUUUAUUUAUUUUUUUUAAACUCCGAAAAAUGCAUUAAUUUUUUGAUAAAAUUGAACAUAUAGGGGGAGGGGGAGUAGCGCAAAUCCAGUCACAUCGUGCUACUUCAAUAUGAAAUUGUUUUGAAUUUUUAUUAAAAUAUCUAUUUGAUAAUUAUUAGUACCUUGUAAGUAAAAAAUUGGAUUAAAAAUUGUUUUUACUGCAAUUUUUUUAAAUUUUUCAACUAGGUAGUAAAACCAAUUCAGUUCGAACUGGUACAUUUACCCUACUCGUAAAAUAUGAUUUAUACUUUCCUUUUUACUUAAUUAUAGCUUUGUAAUCUAAUAUUUAAACAUUGGUCAUUUUUGUGAUUAAAAUAUAUUUUUUUAACCUAGAAA